rnacentral:rRNA from 1 species
CUACGGGCCGCAGCAGUGAGGAAUUUUGCGCAAUGGGGGAAACCCUGACGCAGCAACGCCGCGUGAGUGAAGAAGGCCUUUGGGUCGUAAAGCUCUGUCAACAGGGAAGAAGUUACGAUUGUUUAACAGAUGAUUGUAUUGACGGUACCUGUGGAGGAAGCGCCGGCUAGCUCCGUGCCAGCAGCCGCGGUAACACGGGGGGCGCAAGCGUUAUUCGGAAUUAUUGGGCGUAAAGGGCGCGCAGGCGGUCUUGUCCGUCAGGUGUGAAAGCUCGGGGCUCAACCCCGGAAGUGCACUUGAAACAGCAAGACUUGAAUACGGGAGAGGAAAGCGGAAUUCCUGGUGUAGAGGUGAAAUUCGUAGAUAUCAGGAGGAACACCGAUGGCGAAGGCAGCUUUCUGGACCGAUAUUGACGCUGAGGCGCGAAGGCGUGGGGAGCGAACGGGAUUAGAUACCCCGGUAGUC